rnacentral:rRNA from 1 species
GAACGCAUACUUUAGAGUAUGAGUGGCAGACGGGUGAGUAACGCGUGAGACAUCUACCUUACAGCCCGGUAUAAAUAUCUAUAUAGAGGCGAAAAUCUUUAUAUAUGAGUGAAUCCCGGAUAUCUUGAAUAAAAAAAAAGGCAAAGAACCGUUGUAAGAUGAGCUCGCGUAGGAUUAGGUAGUUGGUAAGGUAAAAGCUUAUCCAAGCCGAUGAUCCUUAGCUGUUCUGAGAGGAUGAUCAGCCACACUGGGACUGAGACACGGCCCAGACGCUUUCGAGCGGCAGCAGUGAGGAAUUUUGGACAAUGGGCGAAAGCCUGAUCCAGCUAUAUCGCAUGAAUGAAGAAGGCUCAAUUGGUUGUAAAAUUCAUAGUUUCAUUGUAGAUUAUGACAUUGAUGAAAUGAAUAGUCCCGGCCAACUCCGUGC